GAUGAACGCUGGCGGCGUGCUUAACACAUGCAAGUCGAACGGUGAACACGGAGCUUGCUCUGUGGGAUCAGUGGCGAACGGGUGAGUAACACGUGAGCAACCUGCCCCUGACUCUGGGAUAAGCGCUGGAAACGACGUCUAAUACUGGAUAUGUGACGUGACCGCAUGGUCUGCGUUUGGAAAGAUUUUUCGGUUGGGGAUGGGCUCGCGGCCUAUCAGCUUGUUGGUGAGGUAAUGGCUCACCAAGGCGUCGACGGGUAGCCGGCCUGAGAGGGUGACCGGCCACACUGGGACUGAGACACGGCCCAGACUCCUACGGGAGGCAGCAGUGGGGAAUAUUGCACAAUGGGCGCAAGCCUGAUGCAGCAACGCCGCGUGAGGGAUGACGGCCUUCGGGUUGUAAACCUCUUUUAGCAGGGAAGAAGCGAAAGUGACGGUACCUGCAGAAAAAGCGCCGGCUAACUACGUG
rnacentral:rRNA from 1 species